GUAGCGUAUAUUAAAGUUGCUGCAGUUAAAAAGCUCGUAGUUGGAUCUCGGCUCAAGCUCUGCGGUCCACUUGCCGGUGGUUACUGCUUAGCUGAGCGACUUACCAAGCCGUCUCUCGAUGCUCUUAACCGGGUGUCUUGAGCGAUUGGUACAUUUACUUUGAACAAAUUAGAGUGCUUAAAGCAGGCAUACUGCUCGGAUAACUUUGCAUGGAAUAAUAGAAUAGGACAUUGGAUCCUUUUUGUUGGUCUCUCGAUCCCGAUGUAAUGAUUAAAAGGGACAGACGGGGGCAUUCGUAUUGCGGCGCUAGAGGUGAAAUUCUUGGACCGUCGCAAGACGAACUACAG
rnacentral:rRNA from 1 species